rnacentral:rRNA from 1 species
CCUACGGGAGGCUGCAGUGGGGGAUAUUGGACAAUGGGGGGAACCCUGAUCCAGCGACGCCGCGUGAGUGAAGAAGUAUCUCGGUAUGUAAAGCUCUAUCAGCAGGGAAGAAGAAAUGACGGUACCUGAGUAAGAAGCCCCGGCUAACUACGUGCCAGCAGCCGCGGUAAAACGUAGGGGGCAAGCGUUAUCCGGAAUUACUGGGUGUAAAGGGGGCGUAGACGGUGUUGGAAGUCUGGAGUGAAAGGCGGGGGCCCAACCCCCGGACUGCUCUGGAAACUAUGUGACUGGAGUGCAGUAGAGGUGAGCGGAAUUCCUAGUGUAGCGGUGAAAUGCGUAGAUAUUAGGAAGAACACCAGUGGCGAAGGCGGCUUGCUGGACAGUAACUGACGUUGAGGCUCGAAAGCGUGGGGAGCAAACAGGAUUAGAUACCCUGGUAGUC